rnacentral:rRNA from 1 species
CUUGCUGGGUGGAUUAGUGGCGAACGGGUGAGUAACACGUGAGUAACCUACCCUUGACUCUGGGAUAAGCCUGGGAACUGGGUCUAAUACCGGAUAGGAACGUCCACCGCAUGGUGGUUGUUGGAAAGAUUUAUCGGUCAUGGAUGGACUCGCGGCCUAUCAGCUUGUUGGUGAGGUAAUGGCUCACCAAGGCGACGACGGGUAGCCGGCCUGAGAGGGUGACCGGCCACACUGGGACUGAGACACGGCCCAGACUCCUACGGGAGGCAGCAGUGGGGAAUAUUGCACAAUGGGCGAAAGCCUGAUGCAGCGACGCCGCGUGAGGGAUGACGGCCUUCGGGUUGUAAACCUCUUUCAGUAGGGAAGAAGCGAAAGUGACGGUACCUGCAGAAGAAGCACCGGCUAACUACGUGCCAGCAGCCGCGGUAAUACGUAGGGUGCGAGCGUUAUCCGGAAUUAUUGGGCGUAAAGAGCUCGUAGGCGGUUUGUCGCGUCUGUCGUGAAAGUCCGGGGCUUAACCCCGGAUCUGCGGUGGGUACGGGCAGACUAGAGUGCAGUAGGGGAGACUGGAAUUCCUGGUGUAGCGGUGGAAUGCGCAGAUAUCAGGAGGAACACCGAUGGCGAAGGCAGGUCUCUGGGCUGUAACUGACGCUGAGGAGCGAAAGCAUGGGGAGCGAACAGGAUUAGAUACCCUGGUAGUCCAUGCCGUAAACGUUGGGCACUAGGUGUGGGGACCAUUCCACGGUUUCCGCGCCGC